GAGGAGGCCCUUGGGUCGUAACCACUUUUCUUAGGGAAGAAGCUCUGACGGUACCUAAGGAAUAAGCCUCGGCUAACUCCGUGCCAGCAGCCGCGGUAAUACGGAGGAGGCAAGCGUUAUCCGGAAUUAUUGGGCGUAAAGAGUCCGUAGGUGGUCAUUCAAGUCUGCUGUUAAAGGCGGAAGCUCAACUUCCGACAGGCAGUGGAAACUGGAUGACUGGAGUAUGGUAGGGGUAGAGGGAAUUCCCAGUGUAGCGGUGAAAUGCGUAGAGAUUGGGAAGAACACCGGUGGCGAAAGCGCUCUACUGGGCCGUAACUGACACUGAGGGACGAAAGCUAGGGUAGCGAAAGGGAUUAGAUA
rnacentral:rRNA from 1 species